CCAAACUGCAGUGGUAUGAAUGUGUGCGAGAGGGGAGUGGCCAUGUACUGAGGACAUUUUUUUUGUUUGCUUUACAUGCUCACCUCUCACUUUGCAAAGGUUGAAAAUUAUGAUGUUAGUAUUUCUUUUGUUUUAAUUCACUAGAUUUGGUGCAUUUUACAGUUUUAAGUAAAAGAUUGAAAAAAGAGGAAGAAUAUUAUGAAAAAUUCAGAACCAUCACAGAUGUUCCGUAAUGAAACUUUGCAGACAAUAAGCAAUCAUUGAUAAUUUAAUUAUCUACACCCAAACUCGAAGACAGUUGUCCGCGAAAAGUUUGCAAAGUGCUUGAAGCGAAAAAGUAGAUUUAAAAACAACAACAACAACAUAAGUGGCACUCAUCUAACGGAGACAAUUACGCUGUCAUUCGGAGCAAUUUUCAUAAUUUUUGAUCCCGUCUCCUAGGGCAAAAGCAAGGGCUAAGAAAGAUAGAAAAAAAUCUCACCCCUUUUCUUCGCUUGGCCACUUGCUGUUCGAGGAUUUUCUUAGGCCAGGGCAAGGUGUUCAACCAGAAACGCGAUGGAAAUUUUAUGCCAAGAACGCGGGAACCGGUUCCGGUAACAAAUUAUUUUUUAAGUACCUGUGAGCUCACCGUUUAAACGGUGACUGUUUUACCGCCCCAAACUAAAUGGUAAUUUAUAAAUUUUUCAGGAACGGCUCAUGGCUAGCGGACGGUCCGCAUUUUUUGAGGAAAAAGCUCCUUACGUUAAAGGAUAUUUUCUUGGAUCCGUUUUUACUCCUUCGGGAGAAGAGGUGUCGCCAGUAAAGAAAACCGAUUGCUUCUGCCGGUCGCGUUAAUGUUUUCCUAAUGCAAUCAGACGUUAAUUAAUCACAAUUCAUUACUCACGUCGUCGGGUCGAGAACAGCCUUCUGGCUGUUAUAAAAUAUAUUUAAAACGGGAGCACGUGCUUGAGGGGCUUUCCGGAAAAAUCGACUCUGAAGGUAAAUAAUAAUAUAAAAAAUGAUCAAUCGUAAGUCAUCAUAAAAGUUUUUUUUUUGUUUUUCGUGAGCGCUAACAAAUUUAUUCUAACUUUCAAUUCGUUGAGUAGAAUAAAUUGGAAUUUUUAGUGGUGAUAGAAAGCUGACAAAAUCAUAUGGCUGCAUCAUGAGCGACGAGGCCUAAUGCGGACUUUCAAAAGAUUCCUGAGAACCUGUGUUUUACUCCCAUGGAUAAAUUAAAUGUUCCUGAGAAUCUACGAUCGCAGGAGAUCACCAAAAAAUAAGACAUAAGAAAACAACUGUAAUUAGUUGAAAUCUACACGAAAACCACUUGAAAAUCUUUCGAAAAUUACUUAAACACUUAAAAACUAUCGCUUCAAAACGGACCGGUAAUGAAAAGUUCUGUUGAAAGUUCUUUGAACGCAGACAGCAGAAAUUCACCGGAAUCAACA